rnacentral:misc_RNA from 2 species
GCUAAAGAAAAAGGCACCCAUAGGGUGCCUUUUUUGAUCGCGUUUUGGUCUCGCUAUUCUAGA